CGUGAGGCGCUGUCAUGGAAGAUUCGAACCUGCCGCAGGUUCGGGUCGAACGCAGUGAGACAACGGAGCCGUUUACGGCGACGGCCCGAAGGGCGAGGCGAAGCCGAGUCAUCCUGCACGACCCACCA
rnacentral:sRNA from 1 species